GCCGGGUAGCUCAAAUGGUAGAGUAGCCGACGUGUCCUCAGGAGGUUAUGAGUUCGAAUCCCAGUCCGAGCG
rnacentral:tRNA from 1 species